AGAGCGAACGCUGGCGGCAGGCCUAACACAUGCAAGUCGAGCGCCCGUAGCAAUACGGGAGCGGCAGACGGGAGAGUAACACGUGGGAACGUACCCUUCAGUUCGGAAUAACCCAGGGAAACUUGGACUAAUACCGAAUACGUCCGUAAGGAGAAAGAUUUAUCGCUGAAGGAUCGGCCCGCGUCUGAUUAGCUUGUUGGUGAGGUAACGGCUCACCAAGGCGACGAUCAGUAGCUGGUCUGAGAGGAUGAUCAGCCACAUUGGGACUGAGACACGGCCCAAACUCCUACGGGAGGCAGCAGUGGGGAAUAUUGGACAAUGGGCGCAAGCCUGAUCCAGCCAUGCCGCGUGAGUGAUGAAGGCCCUAGGGUUGUAAGCUCUUUUGUGCGGGAAGAUAAUGGACGGUACCGCAAGAAUAAGCCCCGGCUAACGUUCGUGCCAGCAGCCGC
rnacentral:rRNA from 1 species